rnacentral:lncRNA from 1 species
AAGAGAAGUGUGGUCCUGCUGCUAUUUGCUUUGUUUCUUUCUUACCUGAUAUUCUGGACUCAAAAGCUGAAGGAAGGAACAAGUAUCUAGAGAUGUUAUUAUCAGUUGCAGAGAAGUUUAAGAGGGACCCUUACAGGUAAAAGCUAUGAACACCAUCUAUUCUAUUUUUGUUACUAUCAUAAUGUUCCAGCCCUCAGUUUCGCUGUUUUUGAUGCAUUCAAACGGCAUGGAGAAACUGAACAAAAGUUUGAGUUUUUCUACUGUUGUAAGGCUAAAUCCCAAAUGAUGUUGAUGAAUAGUGCUACAUAAACUAGUUCUGGGGAAUUAUCUCCUGGAAAAUGGAAUUAGAGAUAGAUGGAAGGUGAUGUCCUGCGAUCAUGGGAUGUAAAUCACCUUGAAUUUGAAUCUUUCUAGUCGACAGAUUUUCAUGGUUUAAGAUUGGAAUAGAAGUGGCAGGACUUUUGCUUCUACAGCAUCUGAACAUGGUUAUUCUUCUUCCGUGAUUUCUUUUCCUGAUUUUGACUGUGUUUGCAGCUUUGUGUGGGUUGCUGCUGGGAAGCAGCCUGAUUUGGAGAAGCGUGUUGGUGUUGGAGGAUAUGGUUAUCCAGCAAUGGUAGCCUUGAACGCAAAGAAAGGAGCCUAUGCUCCACUUAAAAGCGGUUUUGAGGUUAAACACCUUAAGUAAGUUUGUUUUUCUCUCUUAUCUUUUUUGCUUUUAAAUAAAGUACAAAACCAACAGUCCAUGCGUUUUUUGGUAGCGAGCUGAAAACGGGUCUUAUUCUCUUUUGUGUUAUCAGAGAAUUCGUGGAGGAAGCUAAGAGAGGAGGAAAAGGAAAUUUGCCAAUAGACGGGACAAUGGAGAUAGUGAAGACAGAAGCUUGGGAUGGUAAAGACGGAGAGGUGGUUGAUGCAGAUGAGUUCUCUCUUGAAGAACUCAUGGCAGAUGAUUGAUGAUACUGCUGCCUCCACUGAGUCAACAGACGAGUUUUGAACAACUAGUAUGGUUUUGGUUUCUUGAAGGACUGUUAAAAUGCCACACAAGAUUUCAGAGUUAGAAAUUCACUUUUGGAUAUAAUAUAGAUACAAAAACUUUUGUGUGAAUGUUUCAGCUCUCUCAAGUAUAUCGUAACUUUUACUGAUUUAUUAGACAUCUAGCCAAUUGAUUGGAUUUAUAGCAGGUCUAUCCAACAAGCUGCCGUUUAACCGAAAAAAUGGCGGACCAAUGAACUACUUUAACCGACUUCUAGACAGUAGUAAUUACAACGAUUACUUAGUUCAUAUAGAAAGUAGCAUACACAGUUUAGUCAAAACAUAAAAUACAAAAGUAAUAUACAAAGCUUUGUUCUAGUUGAGUCCCUGGUCCGAAUACCAGACCAGAACUGACACUAACAAUUGUAAAGCUACAACAACUUGCUUUUCCAAGGCGUAGAUCUUGGUAGACUCAAACGUGACGUGAUCGAAGCUGUUGGGAUGAAUCCAAGUAGGCUACAUCGCUGCAAACUGCGAUUUCAGAGUUACGUUUGAGCAGAUGAUAUCCGCAUUCUGAAGUGUGAAUCCUCGGAUUAUAGGCAAAAGGAAUCCCUUUCCUAGAUGGUCGUCUGCAUAUGGCACAAACACCAUUUGUAUUACAGUCCACACUAUUGGCUACAAGAUGGGAACAAGAUAAAUGAAAAGAAUGAAUGAAAUCUUUCUGAUUCAAACAUAUGAAUGCAUGAAAACGCUUGAGAUGGUGAUUCUUGCCAAAGUAUCUAAAAUACACUGGUUCACACAAGACGAGGCUAUGAGACCCAUUUGUAUCAAUUCUAGUGAAGUUGGUACACGCAGGCUUCCCCUUCAUCUUGUUAUCGUCACCACUAGAAUUUACUUGAAGUCUCUUAAUUGGAAGACUUUAUGCUCUGUAUCAAGAGGCGUAAUGUGGCUUUACCUCUGCUAGGCUGUACAAGUCUCUACAAAGCAACGUGCUUUUCCCUGCAUAAGUUUCAGAUUUAGACAGAGACUUAUGUUAUAGUAUAAGGGCUUUAGACAUGAACAAAUCAUCUUAGGAUUGUUAAAAUGAUUGACCUGAGCCACUGAGACCUAAUCUAAGCUAUCACCGAAACUCAUAGAAACUAAACCACCAAGAAAUAGCAUCCAAUCUGCAAAGAAACGUUCAUUAACAUGACCAGUCUUCUUGAAAUUUCCCAAAGAUAUAAACAAGGAGGAGACGCUAAUUUUCCAUACAAUCUACCUUUGAAGCUUAUCAGAAUCCAAUGGAACAGAAUAAUAUUGAGAUUAUGUUUCAAUUCUACACUGAUAUAUUCGAGCUUGCCGCUUGCAUUCACAAUCGAGACGCAAUCAUCCUCUGUUUAAUCCAAAUCUUAAGAGCCGGAUUAUUUCAUCAUUAUAAAAAAUAUAUAUACAUAUAAAUGGAAAAAAUAAAAACCAAAACGGCAUCAGAUAACAAGCAAAACGCAAGCAUUAAAAAACGAUGUUAAUAAGUGGAGCUAGCAACAUGUCUACUAUUUGCUCAAAAUAAACAUCAAAACGACAAUCUCAUACAAAAUAAAACGCAACCUACUCGCUCACUUUUAAAUUUUGGCCAAAAUAGAGCAAAAUUGAUGGACUAACGCGCGCAACGCGCACCUGCUGCGAGUGGGUAUUAAUUUCUUUGUUUUUUUUUUGGUCAAACUGAUAUUUUUUUCUUUUGUCGUGGUCAAAAUGAUGUUAAUUCCUUAUUUCAUUUCUAUGUCCCCAAACGAUAUGUUACACAAAAAAACAAAAAUUUAGAAAGAAGAUUGAAGAUCAAUAUACCUGGAUUGUAAAUAACCGAAAUGUGAUUCCUUGAUAGCAUCAGCCUGUUUUGACCAAUUACUCGUGAAGAUUUUGACAGACUUGGAUUUCGAGGCUGUCUAAGAGCUGCAGCAAAGCACAAGAAGAAGAAGAAACCAGAAUCCGUUAUCAAGCACACAAUGACACCAAUCAACGGAAUUAUUAGGUGCUUUCGCCUUCUGAGGAAGACUACCCAAUUGGUAAAAGCAGCCCAGAGUAGCAAUCUAUUAUAAAAAUCCUUCCUUUUUUUUUUUAGUUUAAGUUGAACAUGGAACAAUAGCUAUGGCAUUGUUAGCAAACAAUUGUUGUGAAUAUGAUGAAAACGUAGGCAUACCUUUAUUGCAGAUCCUUUUAUUGGUACACUAAAGGGUUCUUAAAAUCUCUAAACACCACGUAGCGUACGUCUUCUCCCGUUGACUAAUACAAGUAGCAAAACAUUCAAUUCAAGAAUCAUCUACUACUGGUUAACUAGUACAGAAUAUUACAGCAAGCAUUGUGUCAUUUCAAGACUUACCAUACCAAUGAGAUGCAUGCCACUGGUAUUACUUGGUCUGCUUCUAGAACAUUGAUUACUAGGUCUGCGUCAACAUUAGCUCUGGACCUGUUGAAGUUACUGAACUAACUGGCCCGGUACUGUUCACAUCUGUAACUAUUUCCCUAAAUAUUGCUUUCAGAUGGUACUUGUCUCGAACACUCGUUGUGUGCUGAUUGAAUGGAUGUCAGGGAAGAGAAGUGUGGUCCUGCUGCUAUUUGCUUUAUUUCUUUCUUACCUGAUAUUCUGGACUCAAAAGCUGAAGGAAGGAACAAGUAUCUAAAGAUGUUAUUAUCAGUUGCAGAGAAGUUUAAGAGGGACCCGUACAAGUAAAAGCUAUGAACACCAUCUAUUCUAUUUUUGUUACUAUCAUAAUGUUCCAGCCCUCAGUUUCUCUGUUUUUGAUGCAUUCAAACGGCAUGGAGAAACUGAACAAAAGUUUGAGUUUUUUUUCUACUGUUUUAAGGCUAAAUCCCAAAUGCUGUUGAUGAAUAGUGCUACAUAAACUAGAUUUUGGGAAUUAUUUGUUGGAAUAUGGAAUUAGAGAUAGAUGGAAG